UUGGGGAAUAUUGGACAAUGGGCGAAAGCCUGAUCCAGCCAUGCCGCGUGUGUGAAGAAGGUCUUCGGAUUGUAAAGCACUUUAAGUUGGGAGGAAGGGUAGUAACCUAAUACGUUGCUACUUUGACGUUACCGACAGAAUAAGCACCGGCUAACUACGUGCCAGCAGCCGCGGUAAUACGUAGGGUGCAAGCGUUAAUCGGAAUUACUGGGCGUAAAGCGUGCGCAGGCGGUUUUGUAAGUUGGAGGUGAAAUCCCCGGGCUCAACCUGGGAACUGCCUCCAAAACUGCAUGACUAGAGUACGGUAGAGGGUAGUGGAAUUUCCUGUGUAGCGGUGAAAUGCGUAGAUAUAGGAAGGAACACCAGUGGCGAAGGCGACUACCUGGACUGAUACUGACACUGAGGUGCGAAAGCGUGGGGAGCAAACAGGAUUAGAUACCCGUGUAGUCC
rnacentral:rRNA from 1 species